UACAACUCACAGCGAGCUUUGACAGGUGAUGAGGGUGGUGAGGAUGGCGAUUAUUAUCGGUUAUAUAUCAGUGGUAGGGAGCGG